GGAGGAGGGGUUUUCUGGAGAAGAAGUUUGUGUAACAGAGAAGCAGCGGCAUUUUUCUUUUUCUUUCUAUUUUUUCUCACUUCUUUCCAUGUAACCCUUCAACAAGUUGAAACGCUGAAACGGAUCAAGGAAGAGCUGCUUUUAACCAGAACAGCUUAUUAUGGAAAUCCCUGCUAUAAAUCUAAAGGCCAUAGUACUGGUGCACUGGCUGCUUGCAGUGUGGGGAUGCAUGGCCUGGCUGCCCAUGUCCUUCGCAUGGGGGAACUUCAGUGUUUUAGCAGUGGGACUCUGGGCCAUUGCACAGAGGGACUCGAUCGAUGCUGUGCUCAUGUUCCUUAUGGGGAUGAUUGUGACGAUACUGACCGACAUCAUCCAUAUUGGGAUCUUUUACCCAUCCAGUGAGUUGGCAGGAGAAAGAGGUCGAGACGUUUUACGCUUCAGCACAGGAAUGGCCAUCCUCAACCUGCUGCUCAAACCUGCAUCCUGCUUCUUUGUCUACCAAAUGUAUCGCGAACGAGGAGGAGAUUACAAUGUCAACUUUGACUUAGAGACCUCUGUGGACAGUCGAUGCACUACGGACAGUGCUGACAGUGCUUUUAUUGGCCGUCGAUAUUGAUUCCUGGCUUCUUCCUUUUUCCCAUUUCUCCUCUCCGAUCAUCCUCUUCCUUCCCCUUCCAUGCUGGAAGUUUCCCCUCAGUAUCACAAAACAGAGACGCCUAUCAGUCCAUCGACCAUCAGGAUGAGUCUUCCAGCCCAGCAAAUCCCUUCAACCAGGCCCAGGACAGCAAACCAGGAGUCCGCACAUACUGAGAGCAGCAGGCGUUGAACAGUGCAGCGUUUUUCCUCUGACUUCUAAGCAGCAGUGCCACGGUUACAGACAAAUUCUACAAUCAAAUUCUGUGCUGUCUCUGUGUUUUGCAGAGUUAGUUCCUCUGAGCUGAAACUUUUAUUACGGUAAAGUAAUUAUCUGUUUAGGUUUUAGAGUGAAAUGUGGCAGAAUAUUGAAUUUAAUUUCACAAACACAGUCGUGUUAUUUGCAGAGCUGGCACAUAACUGCUGAAUAAAUGCAGAGGAAAAACUCUCCUGCUCCCACACUGUUACUGUUGUUACCACCUACUAUUUUAAGUAGACAGGUGUUGAAUAGAACUGUUAUAUUAAGUCUUUUUUUUAAUCAUGAAUGUGGCACUUACAGGCAUGAAGAAUUUCUCUUUGUGUUCUGUAAAUUAUUAUAUUCUCCCUGUAUGCAAUAUCUAAUGAAUAUUUGCUGGUAGCAAUGCUGAAAACACUGGACUGUUAGAAACAGGAGAGAACUGAAAAUACUGUAAUGCUGUGCCUUAGAAGUUACUGUUUACUUCUUUUCAACUAAUGUGAGCUGUGAGAUCCUUCAACUGAACUGAAGACAUGAUGACCAAUUCUGACGUUACUGGACUUUCUUCAUAGGAAAUUAGAAUAUUAGUACAGUGCAGCACACAGAGCAACACUGUUCAUUUAUCUUGUUUAGUAUCUAUGCAAAGUCCAACUGAAAUGCAUGAAAACAUAAAGAUUGUUGAUUUCUGUAAUAGUUUCCUUCAUCAUUCCUACAGUUAUUGUCAUAUCAGUGAAGGUCUUAUUAUGUAAAACCUGUUUACAGUCAAUAAAUUACAGACCACAUGCUGUGCAGCCUCUGA